GUAGGAUAGAGGCCUACCAUGGUUUUAACGGGUAACGGGGAAUUAGGGUUCGAUUCCGGAGAGGGAGCCGAGAAACGGCUACCACAUCCAAGGAAGGCAGCAGGCGCGCAAAUUACCCAAUCCCGACACGGGGAGGUAGUGACAAUAAAUAACAAUACGGGGCUCAUUUGGGUCUCGUAAUUGGAAUGAGUACAAUUUAAAUCUCUUAACGAGGAACAAUUGGAGGGCAAGUCUGGUGCCAGCAGCCGCGGUAAUUCCAGCUCCAAUAGCGUAUAUUAAAGUUGUUGCAGUUAAAAAGCCCGUAGUUGAACUUCGGGGUUUACCCAUUGGUCAGGCUUAAUUGUCUGCACUGGUGAGAUAAAUCUCUACCUUCUGAGGAACUUUCAUGCCAUUUAUUUGGUGUGAUGGGAAAUCAGGACUGUUACUUUGAAAAAAUUAGAGUGUUUAAAGCAGGCUAACGUCUGAAUACAUUAGCAUGGAAUAAUGAAAUAGGACGGACUGAUUCUAUUUCGUUGGUUUCUAGGAUCACCGUAAUGAUUAAUAGGGAUAGUUGGGGGCAUUAGUAUUCAAUUGUCAGAGGUGAAAUUCUUGGAUUUAUUGAAGACUAACUACUGCGAAAGCAUUUGCCAAGGAUGUUUUCAUUAAUCAAGAACGAAAGUUAGGGGAUCGAAGACGAUCAGAUACCGUCGAAGUCUUAACCAUAAACUAUGCCGACUAGGGAUCGGACGAAGUUAAUUUUAUAAUGACGCGUUCGGCACCUUACGGGAAACCAAAGUGUUUGGGUUC
rnacentral:rRNA from 1 species